GACGAACGCUGGCGGCGUGCUUAACACAUGCAAGUCGAACGAUGAAGCCCAGCUUGCUGGGUGGAUUAGUGGCGAACGGGUGAGUAACACGUGAGUAACCUGCCCUGGACUCUGGGAUAACCCCGAGAAAUCGGAGCUAAUACCAGAUAGGACCUUGGAUCGCAUGACUCUUGGUGGAAAGUUUUUCGGUUUGGGAUGGACUCGCGGCCUAUCAGCUUGUUGGUGAGGUAAUGGCUCACCAAGGCGUCGACGGGUAGCCGGCCUGAGAGGGUGACCGGCCACACUGGGACUGAGACACGGCCCAGACUCCUACGGGAGGCAGCAGUGGGGAAUAUUGCACAAUGGGCGCAAGCCUGAUGCAGCAACGCCGCGUGCGGGAUGACGGCCUUCGGGUUGUAAACCGCUUUUAGUAAGGAAGAAGGGGCCUCGGCCUUGACGGUACUUGCAGAAAAAGGACCGGCUAACUACGUGCCAGCAGCCGCAGUAACAC
rnacentral:rRNA from 1 species